UGAUCUUCUCACAUUGCUGUCUUUUCCACAGAUCCAGCCCUCCACUUCUCUACGUGCAGCUAAGGACCUGACUGGAGGCCUCAUGGAGCCCUCAGGGUGUUCGUGUGGGAAGAUGAGGACCCCCUGGAGUGGGUGGAUGACCAAGGGGUGGGGCUACCCUGACAUCACUGCCGAAGGACCGCCCUCAGCCUGUAUACUGCCUCACAUCCUUUCGCUAUAGGGAAUGCACUCAGAAGAUGACAUUUUUUCCUUCUCAUGUGUGUUCCGGCUGUUGCUGUAGGCUGAGAGAAAUCCUACAAUCGGAAGAUUUCAAUCUCGCUGCUUGUGUGUGCUGAAUUUUUUUGCUCAGAGUUUUUUUGGCUCGCCACUCCAACAGUUUAGGAAAGAAAAAAAUCGUUUUUCCAAUAAACAUCAUCUGAGACUUGAAGCUGAACUGGGUCACAGGGCCUACUGGCUGCUGUGUACUGCGGAGCCGACAGGCGGCUCUCAAGUGUGCCGGCGGUGGCUCCAGGCACAGGCUUGUUGCUCUUAUCAGCUCCUUUACACAAUGCUGCUCUCCUUCCAAAAAAAUGAAAAGUAAAUGUUUUAGUAAUUCUAAAAGGCUAAGUACCUAAAGAUGUAAUGGAUAUGCUUGUUGGACCUUUAAGUUUUUCCUUCUCCCUGUUUUUUUAUUUAAACCACACUACUUUCCACUCCGCUUUCUCUUUCCCCGGCACUGGAAAAUGAAACUUCCUGCAGCAUUGAGGGUUUGCUUUUGACCGGCGAUGCUGCAAUUUGAUCAGCACUUAUGGCCUCCGCGGCUAAUUAUUUCAUUUUUAUUUUCCUGCUCGUCACUCUAAAUUGUUUUGAAAAUGAACAAUGGUGGGGUGUGACAAUCCUGUCCCCUCUCCUGCUCUUCACCCGUCACUGUUUUGGGUUUGAAUUCAAAACGUGUGCCUGCUGCUUGUGACCACUGGGGCACGUUUGGUCAAUUUUGUAAUCUAGCGUUGGCCAACUUUCCUGGUUUUCUGAAUCCGUGACAUCAAUUUGGUCCAUUGUUUCAAUUCUGUUAAUUUAUUCUAACCAGUA